ACGGAGGAUCCAAGCGUUAUCCGGAUUUAUUGGGUUUAAAGGGUGCGUAGGCGGACUAAUAAGUUAGUGGUGAAAGCCCGGGGCUCAACUCCGGAACUGCCAUUAAUACUGUUAGUCUUGAAUCAACUUGAAGUGGGCGGAAUAAGGCAUGUAGCGGUGAAAUGCAUAGAUAUGCCUUAGAACACCGAUUGCGUAGGCAGCUCACUAAAUUUGUAUUGACGCUGAGGCACGAAAGCGUGGGGAGCGAACAGG
rnacentral:rRNA from 1 species